UUAGGGUAAGGGUAGGGGAUAAGGUUAGGAAUUUAGGUUUGAUGGUUAAGGUGAGGGUAAGGAUUAAAGGUUAGGCAUUUAGUUGAGAUGGUUAGGGUAAGGAGAUAGGGAAUGCAUGAUGUCAAUGACAGGUCCCCACAAAGAUAGUGAAACAUGUGUGUG